rnacentral:rRNA from 1 species
GACGAACGCUGGCGGCGUGCUUAACACAUGCAAGUCGAACGGAAAGGCCCUGCUUUUGUGGGGUGCUCGAGUGGCGAACGGGUGAGUAACACGUGAGUAACCUGCCCUUGACUUUGGGAUAACUUCAGGAAACUGGGGCUAAUACCGGAUAGGAGCUCCUGCUGCAUGGUGGGGGUUGGAAAGUUUCGGCGGUUGGGGAUGGACUCGCGGCUUAUCAGCUUGUUGGUGGGGUAGUGGCUUACCAAGGCUUUGACGGGUAGCCGGCCUGAGAGGGUGACCGGCCACAUUGGGACUGAGAUACGGCCCAGACUCCUACGGGAGGCAGCAGUGGGGAAUAUUGCACAAUGGGCGGAAGCCUGAUGCAGCAACGCCGCGUGCGGGAUGACGGCCUUCGGGUUGUAAACCGCUUUCGCCUGUGACGAGGCGUGAGUGACGGUAAUGGGGAAAGAAGCACCGGCGAACUACGU